CAGGCAACGAGCCACGGAACGUCGUCUGUGCUUCGUUCCUUGUUCUUCUUUUUUUUUUCUUUUCUUUUUGUUUCUUUCUUCCGGUUGGUUCACUGUCGCUCGUGGCUGGUGUAUCAAGAUUGAUUUAUGCCGGUACAUCUAGUGGGCGGUCAUCGACAAAAUGUUGUGGGACGUAUUGUCGAUGCUGUGUAUGACUGUGUUACUAGACAAUGGAAUAGACAGGGAGCACGUUCAUAUAUUUAUAGCAAAAGGACAUUACCAAAAAUGUUAAUCCUAUAGCUUCAGCUAGAGGCUACAGGGAACAUAAAUAGAAAUCUGUUUAUGAGUUCCUUUGUUCCUAAACCUUGCAACCCAAAACACGAUGUAUAUUCAAGGGUAUAAUGAUAUGCACCUCUCCUUAUUUAGAAUAUUUCUGCGUAAUAGCAGUCUGGAGGUCACGGAUGUACAUAAAUAAAUAGAUCAAUGAAACUGGUGAUAUAAAACGAGUAUCCCCAAGAGCUGAAAUUCGAAUGCAUUCUGGGGAAAAUAACCGUGCCGAUGAAGUGUGGAAUUCAAGGAAUGCAAUAAGAAUCGAAAGCAACUGAUCAUAAAUCACUGUUUCGUACGAACGUGUAAUCUGCUAGAACUUCAACGAGAUUACACAGGGGGCUAAUAAAUGACGACUUAAAAAACACUCGAUUUGUUUCCUUAAUUUAAGUUAGAAAUCAGAAAAUUGCAAGAAAUUCCUGUUAAAUUUAUUUUAGAAAGUUCUCUAUCAUUGAGCACAGAAAAAUUACAAGCUAUGGAAACAAAAACUUCGUAUCUUUAAAUGGAAAUAAUAAGAACAACUGAUCUGAUAACUGUACUGGCUAUCCAUUAACAGUUAGUGUAUUAGAAAGAGGGUUGGCCAUUAAACACAGUAGCCAAAGAGAAUAUCCAGAGUUUUGUAAUAAAACAAUAUUAGAUUAAAAAGUAUAUUAAUCUUCAAUCAUCAGUUGGCACGUACUAAUCUAUACUAUCUAAAAUAUAUUCAAUCUUAGUUGGUACAUUCUAUUGCAUCUAAUACCAUCGUCCGGAUAUCGUUUAUCUUGAUACUCUUAAUGUUACAAAACUAAAUGAGAUACCGAAUGAACGCUGGUAACCUGUAAAGGAUUGAAAGGAUUCAUUCUUUCUAAAAAAAAAUACAAAUUAUAACGUUACUUAAAUUAUAAUAAAACGUCGUAAAGAAUUGUAAUUGAUUUCACAAAGACAGCUCUUGAACAUUUCUUACGUUUGCGUUUACUUGCGAAACUUUCGAACAGAUAUUUUGUAUCGAAUUCAAUCGUGAAUUAAAAGUAUACGAAAGCACCGUUCGAUCGGCGAAGAACGAUUCGACAGCGAAACAUCGACUAGAAAUAUCGAAUUUGAUUUGGUACACAAAGCGUACAAGUACCUAUGGAAAUCCAUCAAAUGUAAAAUCAGCCGGUUGCAUCAUGCCGCCUCCGCCGCUGGUGCAGCAGGAGGAAAAAAUUCUUUUAAAACUAGUCAUAGCGCAUACAUAUCCCGCAGAAACGAUCGUGCGUUCGAUGUGUAGAAGAUAUCGAUGAUGCAACGAUGCAUUUCCAAGGUAUCUCAACCGAGGACGCCAUUACUGUAAAAUCGAAAAUACCCGGUUCGUCGUAAAAUUCAAAUAAGCGUUCCCGGUCGAAAGUGGUUCGGUUGCGUGGUAAAACGUAGCAUUUAUUUCGAUAAAAUCGUGAAACGAGCGACCGGAAACCAUCGGGUGUUAAUAACCUUGGCCUGUGAAAUCGAGCUGCUGAAAAAUUUACUUGCAACGUGUGUUUGUUACGAAGAUAGAGUUUAACGCUUCGAGCGUGCCAGCUAGAAAUAAGCUGCGAUCCAAGUUUCACGGCAAUGGUUUAAUAUCAAUCUAUUCCUGACUACAAUACUUUUUUCCAUGAGAUACUUGCUACGUGCUUAGUGUUUCCAGUCAGCUGGUUUGGAAUUUGUAAUAUAGGGUCAUCAUCUUCUUUCCUUUUUCUUGUUUUUUCUCGUUUUUAAUUAAUUAUUUACAGUCGUAUCAUUCGCUAUAGUGACGACUCACGUGAACAUUGGCGACUCACAAUCGGCCGAAAUCAUCGGUUGAAUUUCUAUAUUUGGAAGGGAGUGGUUUGUUUGAGAUUACUAACAACUUCAGCAAUUGUAGGAUUUUAUAUGGAUUUUUAUAAUUGGGGGAAAAAUUAAUAUUAAAGUGUAAUCUAGCAGUGGAAGAUUUGUUAUAAUGUAAAAUGAGAUACGGUCCAUGGUUUUCUAUUAAGAAAUGUGUUAAAAUUAAAUGAAAUUGCCUUUAGAGGGAAUUUGAAGAUCUAUUUUCAUGAAAAUUAUCUUUCAUAGUUAGCGACGCAUAGGAGAAAUAAAUCAGGAUAUUAAUAAGUAGAUAAUAAGCAGCAAUGUUUGAAAUUAUAAUAAUAUUAUAGCAGACGUGGCAAUAAUAUAUUAAAAUUAUAUAAACAGUGCGAACAGACAGUGUUCAAUAAUCAUGCAACAAUUGCAAAAUGCAAUGUCUAAUCCCUUAUUUUCCUUAUUAUUGACGUAGAGCGAUCAAUAUCCAUCUUGUUUAAACGUUUUGAAAAUGCAUAAUGUAUCAACGUAGCAAUAAAUCAAGAGCUGUCGGUUUACGUAUAUCGAAGAGAUUAUAUUCAGAAAAUUUAUGGCUAGGUAUUAAACGUAAUUUACUGCAUUUAGUCAGUAACUUUUCUUACACGAUUAUUCUUGGAAUAGAUGUUAAAAUGUAUUAGGAUAUUGUUGGUAUCUUGCAUAUUAUUAUUAGAGAAAAAUGAUAUACCAUGCUAAACGAAAGGUGAAAUAAUAAUAUAUGAAAAUGACUAAGAAGAUAUUAAGUUUAAUCUGUAAAAAAGUCUUAUACCGUUACGUAUUGUACAUACUUUGAUUCGCUAACGGUUCAUACUACUGUGUCCGUGUAUAAUUCGCUCAAUCUACUAGCCAACGUUAGGUUAGAGGAGCAA